UUAAGUAGCGUUGAAUGUGUUUUUCUAUGCCAAAAUAUUUACUCAAAUCAAUAUACAGGAGCCUUUUUUUAGCGUCCAAAGAAAUACUUUGCUCACUGUAAGCAGAGCGUAACUAUGAAUACAGUGCAUAUAGCACCUCCCUAUGAAAAAUAUACUAAUGUAGUAAGAAGAGAAGGUUUUUGCAAAGGAAGAAUAGGAAGUGUAGUCUGCAUGCUCCCCAGGCCACUGAAUGCGAAGGUUUUCAAAGUUUGUUAUCUACAAUCUUACGUAGCUGUGCGUAUCUCAAGCCGACCUAAACAAAUCUCGUUAUUCCAAAUAAUAUUUAUUUUAAACAGUUAUCAUAAUUCUAUAUGAUAAUAAUCCAUAGUAACUAAGCUGUUUUAUAUGUAUCUGAACAAAGGAAUAGAAAAAAUAAACCCAGUUUCCAAGUUUU